rnacentral:rRNA from 1 species
GACGAACGCUGGCGGCGUGCUUAACACAUGCAAGUCGAACGGAAAGGCCCUGCUUUUGUGGGGUGCUCGAGUGGCGAACGGGUGAGUAACACGUGAGUAACCUGCCCUUGACUUUGGGAUAACUUCAGGAAACUGGGGCUAAUACCGGAUAGGAGCUCCUGCUGCAUGGUGGGGGUUGGAAAGUUUCGGCGGUUGGGGAUGGACUCGCGGCUUAUCAGCUUGUUGGUGGGGUAGUGGCUUACCAAGGCUUUGACGGGUAGCCGGCCUGAGAGGGUGACCGGCCAAAUUGGGACUGAGAGACGGACCAGACUCCUACGGGAGGCAGCAGUGGGGAAUAUUGCACAAUGGGAGGAAGCCUGAUGCAGAAACGCAGCGUGCGGGAUGACGGCCUUCGGGUUGUAAACCGAUUUCGCCUGUGACGAAGCGUGAGUGACGGUAAUGGGUAAAGAAGCACCGGCUAACUACGUG